rnacentral:tRNA from 1 species
GCGGGAAUGGCGGAACCGGCAGACGCGCUUGGCUUAGAACCAAGAUUUUGGGAGUUCGACUCUCCCUUCCCGUAC